CGCCCGCCGGCGACCGGCGCACGGGUGAGUAACACGUAUGCAACCUGGCCGCCACAGGGGGAUAACCCGCGGAAACGCGGCCUAAUACCCCGUGACGCCACCGGAGGGCAUCCUCCGGUGGCCAAAGGAGCGAUCCGGUGGCGGAUGGGCAUGCGGCGCAUUAGCUAGACGGCGGGGUGACGGCCCACCGUGGCGACGAUGCGUAGGGGUUCUGAGAGGAAGGCCCCCCCCACUGGGACUGAGACACGGCCCAGACUCCUACGGGAGGCAGCAG
rnacentral:rRNA from 1 species